rnacentral:rRNA from 1 species
UACGGGGGGGGCAAGCGUUGUUCGGAAUUACUGGGCGUAAAGGGCUCGUAGGCGGCCAACUAAGUCAGACGUGAAAUCCCUCGGCUUAACCGGGGAACUGCGUCUGAUACUGGAUGGCUUGAGGUUGGGAGAGGGAUGCGGAAUUCCAGGUGUAGCGGUGAAAUGCGUAGAUAUCUGGAGGAACACCGGUGGCGAAGGCGGCAUCCUGGACCAAUUCUGACGCUGAGGAGCGAAAGCCAGGGGAGCGAACGGG